UGUACUGAAAAGAAUGACAAAAUUAUGAAUUAGUACAAGUGAGGGGGCAAAUGAGUAAUUGGCAAAAACUAUAUGUGUGGAUAUAUUAAAUUAUAGCAAAAGGGAAAAGAAGUGCACAGAACCAUUCAUCUUCUUCUUUCUUGCGUGAGCUCUUUCUCUCUUUUCUCCCAUUGGCUUGAAAACCCUCUUAGCCACACACACUACAACUCGCCUCUUUCUCUCAAAAUUCUCUUCUCAACAGGCAUCAAUAAACAUGUUCAACUUCUAUUUUUCUUACCUUCCCAAGCUAAACGAAAUUAGCUCAAAACCCCCCAAAAUUACAACUUCUUUAAUUUCUAGUUGCAUGUGCAAUUAACUUCACAAAUUGAGACUUUUGAGUGUUGGGAACUAAGGUAAGAGGAGUUAAAAUUCAGCUAAUCCCUUCCAUUUUUAUCAGAUUCGAACUCACCCUCACCACCUUGACCAAAGAUCUAAAUUCUCCAUUACUCUUGUGAUGAUACUUUUCAUGUGCAAAUCCCUACCCAAAUUCGUGUACUGGAGCUAAGGUAACAAGAAUAGUCCCAUCUUUCAUUAGUUACUUUCUCUUCAGCUUUUGUUUCUAAUAGACAAGGGUUCUUGCAAUUACUUCAAAUUGUCUAAUUGAAGCUUUUACAUGUGUAAAAUUCCUUGUAACAAGUCUUAGAUGUUGGGAUUUAAGAAAUUAUUAUGGAAAAGUGAUUUAGAAACCUUAAUGAACUGUUGUUGCUGUAUUAUGGGCUGGUGUUAUUGUUAAAACUGAUUUGGUAUGGUUAGAAUGGUUAUGGCUGAAUUCUAUGGAAUUUUAGUUAAAAAUUCGUAUGACAGUACAGGUGCUAAUCGAGUCAUAGCCGUUGCUGUGUAGCCCAGACUUGUGUAAUUGUUGCAUUUUCGGAUUCUACACCUAAUUCCCUUCAGUUUGGAUAUAAAUUUGGUAUGUUUUGGAUUAGAAAUGGAUUCGGAAAACGCGUUUGAAGUUGGAUAUUGAUGCUGGAAACUGCUUACGGGUUUUGGCAUGGAUUUUGCGGAAUAAGCUAAAAUAUAAGCAGAUUAAACGAGACAAGGUAAGAAGAAACUAAGGAUUGAAGAUGGAAGAUUUUAUUACAUUAGUUUCUUCCUUGUGUUGUUAGAUUAGUCUGAUAGAUAUGUCUGAUGAGUAUUUACCGUUGUGUAAUGGAACUUUCUUUUCCUUGUAUCUGAUAUAGAAUUUAAGUACUUGUUUCUUUUGAACAAGCUAUUCUGUAAAUUUUAAUGUAUCCGGAUCUUAAUUAUGUAUAUACUUGUCAAUAUUCUAGACAUUUGACUUGGGGUAUUACACAUUGAGUUUAA